GCCCGAGUGGUGGAAUGGCAGACACAACGGACUUAAAAUCCGUUGACCGCGAGGUCGUGUGGGUUCGAGUCCCACCUCGGGCA
rnacentral:tRNA from 1 species